rnacentral:rRNA from 1 species
GUCGAGCGAAGCUUUCAAAGCGGAUCCCUUCGGGGUGAAACUUUGAAUGUCUUAGCGGCGGACGGGUGAGUAACGCGUGAGAAACCUGCCUUUCACAAAGGGAUAGCCUCGGGAAACUGGGAUUAAUACCUUAUGACACUUCAUUGUCGCAUGACAGAGAAGUUAAAGCGUAAAGCGGUGAUAGAUGGUCUCGCGUCCCAUUAGUUAGUUGGUGAGGUAACGGCUCACCAAGACUUCGAUGGGUAGCCGGCCUGAGAGGGUGAACGGCCACACUGGAACUGAGACACGGUCCAGACUCCUACGGGAGGCAGCAGUGGGGAAUAUUGCACAAUGGAGGAAACUCUGAUGCAGCGACGCCGCGUGAACGAUGAAGGCCUUCGGGUCGUAAAGUUCUGUCCUAGGGGACGAUAAUGACGGUACCCUAGGAGGAAGCCCCGGCUAACUACGUGCCAGCAGCCGCGGUAAUACGUAGGGGGCAAGCGUUGUCCGGAUUUAUUGGGCGUAAAGGGUUCGCAGGCGGCCUUAUAAGUCAGAUGUGAAAGCCCACGGCUCAACCGUGGUAAGCAUUUGAAACUGGAAGGCUUGAGUUAAGGAGAGGAAAGUGGAAUUCCUAGUGUAGCGGUGAAAUGCGUAGAUAUUAGGAGGAAUACCAGUGGCGAA